GGGUCGAAUCCGUGAAAUUUUGGGUCCCUAGAAAGGUCAGUUAAGGGGCCGUUUUCCAAGUCCAAUCCGUGAAGUUUUGGGUCCCUAGAAAGGUCAGUUAAGGGGCCGUUUUACAAGUCCAAUCCGUGAAGUUUUGGGUCUCUAGAAAGGUCUGUUAAGGGGCCGUUUUCCAAGUCCAAUCCGUGAACUUUUGGGUCCCUAGAAAGGUCUGUUAAGGGGCCGUUUUCCAAGUCUAAUCCGUGAAGUUUUGGGUCUCUAGAAAAGUCUGUCUCCUUAAACCGACCUUUGUACUAACCCGAACUUGUCAUACGUCCCCUUAAACCGACCUUUGUACUGACCCGAACUUGUCCUACGUCCCCUAAAACCAACCUUUGUACUGACCCGAACUUGUCAUACGUCCCCUAAAACCGACCUUUGUACUGACCCGAACUUGUCAUACGUCCCCUAAAACCGACCUUUGUACUCACCCGAACUUAUACCUUCGGCUCUUUAUCGUAAAAGUGAAUAGCCUCUUAAAUACAAAUACUCAGAAACUCAGAACUUGUAAAUAAACUCGAUAAACCUAAAUAAAUGUCUUUGUUAACGAGCAAAGUGUGAACAUGAAAGGAAAGUGAGGGAUGAGGAGGUGAAAGUGUGCGAGAGGAAACGCGAGGAAAUGAAGAAAUGAGAUAAAUACCAAAAUUGAAUGUGAAAUAAAAGAGGAAAAUGAGUUGAAAGUGAAGGAAAGGAAGAUUAAGAAGAAAUGAGGGGAAAAGAGUUAAAAGUUAAGGAAAGGGAAAUUUGAAAGAAAAUAAAUGACGGAAAAUGAGUUAAAAGUGAAGGAAAAGAUAAAUGAAAAGAAAACGAAUAGAGAAAAUUAGUUAAAAGUGAAGGAAAGGAAAAUUAAGAAGAAAAGAAAUGAG